UUUUAGCCCUGAUAGCAGCGGCAUCUCCCGAUAAGAAAAACAAGGCUUUUUAGCCGUAGUUUUUCUACAUCGGGAAUAUAGCGGAUAGCAGGAUUAGCU
rfam:Flavobacterium frigoris PS1 66_15, whole genome shotgun sequence.